CAAUGAGACAAAGCUCGGCCUGGAGGAGGAACGGGUCUCUGACGUCACCGCUGCCGCGAUGCGCGCCCCGGCUCUGAGGCUCUCUGAGGCUCUCUGAGGCUGCGAUUCCAGAAUAACGCCUAACCUACUCACCGAGGUUUAGUCAGCUUCUAAGCGCGAAGUGCGUAGGACACCCUCCUCGAAAACUUUAGCAUCCUUAAUGGAGGAUGCGCUUCUGACUAUACAGAUAGCACGCAGGACCCAGUGAUGGCUCAGCCCUUGAUCACAGACUUUACCCGUUGGACUCCAUGACACAUCUAUGGUAUGCUGAGUUUCCUUGCUGUUGAAGACGUCUGCUACUUAACCCAGCUGGAUGAUGCAGAAUUUGCUGUUGUGGUGGGUUCAUGCUCCAAAUUCCAGCCUCACAGCCUGGCCUUCCUGGAUUUUUACCAACCCCAAAGCAGUAUUAGAAGCUUCGUUGAGAGAAGCGUUGCCUGUGUGACAAUCUGAAGUAUGGCUGCGAUCAACUGCAACAAGAGCUAUGAGACAUGACAUGGCUAUUGAAUCUGUGAACUCACUUCAGAUGCUGUUGCCUACCCAAGACACAAGGUCAAGCUAAACAGGAGCAGUCGACGUUCCAGUAGGCAGCAUCGAUUUUCUGUCGGCGUUACCAAAAAAUAAAUAAAUAAAUAAAUAAAUAAAUAAAUAAAUAAAUAAAUAAAAAUAAAAGAAGAGCAUGAAUCAGGAGGAGUAAAAAAAUACUCUUACGAGGCUGUAAUGGUGGGUGCUAUUCGCUGUGCAUUCAUAAACCUCAUAUAAAAUUUAAGCAAUGAAGAAGCUGAGUUUGAAUCUCCAGAACCCAUAUAACCCUGGACCGAGAGCACCUGUGAUUCCAGUACUCCUGUGGGGAAGAUAGGGUUAGCUGGAUUGGUGUACACAGCAGAAAAAAAACCCGGCAGACCCUCUCUCACACCAGAUGGAAGGUGUGGACGGCAUCUGACGUUUCCUUGGCCUCCACGUGUGCUCGUUGACACACACUUGCAUUUGAUUAAGUGAAUGCGCUCACACACAACAUCUGCACAGAAUGUGAACGCUAACUUAAAUGAGGAGUUUGGUGAUAAUGAGAUGCAGGUGGUGGCUCUCCAGUUGUAACAAAUGUAUCAUUCUGGUGCAGGAGAUUAAGGAUGGGGAGGCCCCCCAGUUGUAACAAAUAAUAUCAUUCUGUUAGAGGCUAUUAAGGAUGGGAAGGCUAUAGGUAUGGGGAGGCAAAAGCUGUGGCAAGACGGGAGAAGCAUGAAAAUUCCUUUCAACUUUGCUGCAAACCAGAAACUUCCUUAAGAAAAUGAAAAUACUGUUUGCUUGAUUGAGGCAGGUUCUCCUGUAACCCAGGCUGGACCCAGCAUGUAGAUAAGAAUGACUUCCAACCCCUAAUCCUUCUGUCUCCAUCCCCAGGUUUACAGGAUUACAGAUGUGAACCUCUGUGCCCAUUUUUCUUUGUAAAAGUAUAUAUUCAUGUGUGAGGGUCUUCAUAUACUGUCUUGCCUGAGUAUUAAUGCUUGCCUGAGUUAGAAUUGC